rnacentral:rRNA from 1 species
GGCGACCGGCGCACGGGUGAGUAACGCGUAUCCAACCUACCUAUUACCACGGGAUAACCCGCGAAAGUCGGACUAAUACCGUAUGUUGUCCUCCAAUGGCAUCAGCAGUGGACUAAAGGUUUGGCGGUAAUGGAUGGGGAUGCGUCCGAUUAGCUAGUUGGUGAGGUAAUGGCUCACCAAGGCUUCGAUCGGUAGGGGUUCUGAGAGGAAGGUCCCCCACACUGGAACUGAGACACGGUCCAG